CCCCACAAGCUAGCAUGAGGGUGCCAAAAAAGAGAAUAAAGUUGAAAGUGAAAUAAAUAUCCCAAUGAACAAAUUUAUCAGAAGUUCAUAUUUAUAUAGAUGUCUAUAUGAGAUAAACAAUUUUUUUUAGACAAUUAUAGAAUGUAAUCACGAAAAAUCAAUCUUAAAAUAUAGAAUUAAAAAAAAAACCAUUUAAACAAAUCAUCAAAAUUUUCAAUAUUACACCAAAUAAGAAUAUAAAGACCAACUAUAUUCUCUUGUAUAAUUUGUUGUGGUAAGAUUCAAAAAAAUUAACUAGUAAGGAAAAAUUAGAUUUUUAAUUCCAAAUUUACAGUAAAAACAUAACAUUUUAUAAAACUAAACAAUUGACUUAAUAGUAUAAAAAUAUGAAAAAAAAUCAAAAUACUAUCUGCGCGUACAAGGACCUAGUAUCCAUAAGUAGCUUGAAAUACAAUCUACAAAAUCCAUUCAAAAUUUUUAGAAAUCGAAUUGGUUAUUCGAAUUUUUUGGUUCUGAAAUGGUAGAUAUCCGGUUUUCCUAGUUUUGGAAGUUUUUCAUUUCCAUCACUUGGUUCACCUAACCGAUAGCUCUGGAGGAUAAGCUCAUAACAUUCUUGCACACCAAGAAAUAUAUUUUUCAAGAAGUUCCAGCUUAGAUACCAAAAGAGAUGCUUCUUAUUCAUCAAUAGUUUACAGAGCCGGAACGCAUAAGUGAUCUCUCUACUGCUCAAAUCCAACCAUUCUUUAGUGUCCGGAAAACAUGGAAAUGUCUUGAGGUUCUUGCAUCCCAACAUGUCUAGUGCUGCCAGACAUUGCCACGAUUGUUGUAGGAACUUCUGUUUUACUUUUCUUGACAGAGAGAAGUCCAAGAUUCGAAGAAACUUCUGGAAAGCUUCUCAACAGUGAGCAUUUUGAGAAUGCUGAGAGAUUCCAAGUAGAUACUGGUUGGCAAAGACCUGUACUUUAGGGAAUUUUCAUUCUCAUAAAACCUAUACAACUUUUCCUUCUAAUCUUUAUGAACCUUUCUACGGAUAUUCACAAACAAAUUCUGGAUCAGUAUCUAUUGUUUCAAAACUAAGUUUGCAAAAACAACUCAUUUUGUCAAUAGGAGUACUGAGUCCUUGAGCCACAUUAAAAUUGUUUUGGCUCCUGUCGCUGCACCUUCCGUUCCUUGCGUUGCAAGCUUCGCAACUGUCCCAUAUUUAUUCUCCUCUUCCUCUACCACUUCCUCUGUUUCUGUCACCUGUGCUCAGGCAGCACACACGAGCGACCAUCGCUAGAGCGACCUCCAAAGCUUCCUCAAACAGCCGUUUCAUAUAUAGAUUUCUCACAUCUCAAUGAUGAAACUCGUAGUAAACCGGCAUGACUUCAGUUACAAAAUGACUGAUGCAAAACGUCUUGGCCACUGAAGCUUUGGAACACAUGGUGUCUCGACAAAUGAGCAAUCUGCCAUGUGGGAAGCUAAAAGUAAUAAGAUCUUAUUGUUUUGUUGUAAAGGUAGGUUACAAUUCUUGAUGGAUGAUACAUCUCUAAACUUUAAAUUGGCUUAUACUCUUCUUAAUUGGGUCAAGACUUUGAGACACGCUUGACUUUGUGGCUUUUGUUUGCGUCUACAGACAAGUUUUGAAUUGAGUCGUGGAAACAAAAAACAAAGCUUCACUGAGAAAGUAACUAUCCGUCAACGUCUGCGGUAACUAUGUUUCGAGCUGAAGCUAUAUGAAGCAACGGAACGUUUGAGUUAAUCGAGACAUCUCAUAGAUGGCUGUUGACUUACCAUCUAUGGGGGUGUACUUUCACUCAACGUCCGUGGUUGGACUAUUGCGUCCUCUAAAGGUAUUUCAUUUAGCUUUCGGGUUUUAAGUUCAUACUUGCGUCACUGAUGAAUUACGUGAAGUGUGGAUUAUUGCGUCCUCUAAAGGGGAAGAUAUUCAGCAAGCUUGGUGUUUUUAGUAGGGAGCCAAGCCAUAUACAGCCAUCUAGCGCAAAGAUUUUCCAAAUGCAGAUUGGCAAAAAAUUAUGAAGAGAUUCAGUUUUAAAAGGAAAAACCCAACUCGUAUAUGAGCUUGAUCCAUUAGCUCUCAAUAGCUGUUUGUUUUCAGUGGCCACGAUGACCCUACUUCCGGAACCAAAACCACUGAGAUUGCUUCACCAAGGCAUCAAGUUGUUCUAUUUUCUCAACAUAAUCAAGAACAGCUUUUAGAUCCAGCAAUCUUUCCUUUACCAAAUUUACAACCAUGCAUAUUUUAAGCUUAUGAACAAUAUAACUUGAGACAGAAAUUGUUCUUACAAACACAACUUUGCUAUUACUGCUAAAGUCCAAUUAUUUUCUUGGAA